rnacentral:rRNA from 1 species
UACGUAGGGACCAAGCGUUGUUCGGAUUUACUGGGCGUAAAGGGCGCGUAGGCGGCGUGGUAAGUCACUUGUGAAAUCUCUGAGCUUAAACUCAGAACGGCCAAGUGAUACUGCUGUGCUAGAGUGCAGAAGGGGCAAUCGGAAUUCUUGGUGUAGCGGUGAAAUGCGUAGAUAUCAAGAGGAACACCUGAGGUGAAGACGGGUUGCUGGGCUGACACUGACGCUGAGGCGCGAAAGCCAGGGGAGCAAACGGG